GUGAAAACCCCAGAUGUAUGAAUGAGGGCAGUCACCUUGAGAAGUGUUCCUGAAGUCUGGCAAGGACAGGCUGCACAAUCUGUGCUGUACCACAGCGGCUGAAGAUUUUGGCUGGCAUCCUCUGAAGGGAAAUGAAGGCACAGAGAUGCUAAAGGACACAUCCCAGUUUUAUAAUUCUCUACAUGUUGGAAGUAGGACAGAAGACAAAUGCUGUGAAAUGCUCAGCAUCACUUUUCUUGUAAAAGAAAAUGAAAUUCAGGAAGGUGGAUCAGGAAAACCGCAUUCUCCUGCCACAGUUUGUUCCUGUAUACAUCUCAUGAUAAGUUGCAAGCCAAUUUGACCUUACAACAUGGAACCUAACCUAAGAGUCUGCAUUGAGAGCAAGAUAUUUUUUUCCAAGCCUGCCUUAAAACAAGGCAUUCCUGCCUGCCCCAAACUGGCCAUGAAGGAUGAUUGCCCAUGGCUGCUUGUUGCACAGACCAAUGUGCUGUUUUGGAGGGAGUCUUCACUUUUCUUCUGCUGGAUUCUCCUCCCUGUGUUGUACUGUGACCUCUGACAGUCAGCAGGACUAGGGCUCAGGCAGCCUGUGAGAAACCUACUCAGGAAGGGUAGAGUUUCCCAAGCAGCUGUCUUUAUACCUUUCCUUCCUUUGGGGAAAAAUCAGUCAUCUUUCUCCAACCUAAGAGGAAAAAGUUGAAUGUGAGUUUCUACACUAGAAUGUAGUAUUCAGGCUGUCUGAGCAGGUGAUCUAGAAAAUUAACUCACUAAUUUCCUAAAUGUUUCCCAAACAGUAGUUACUUUCUCUCUCCCUCUCUCUCCUUCUCUCACUAACAGUCAUGUUUUCAACAGCUUAAUAAUUCAGCCCCAUUUCUGAAACUUAUGGUAUCUUAGAAAAAACCCUACACUAUUAGUAUGCACUUCUGUUUCAACAAUUGCUAAUGCUUUACCUCCUGCUUCUGUCAUGAACUGAGUUUUCUUUGGAUGCUGAAGAUGUUCCUCAAUUUCAUUUUUUAAUUUAUCCCUAUCAUUUUCAUUGGCAAGACUCCAGGGAAUAGCAUGACCCCUCUAGAAGAAAUGGUGUUGACUGUCUCUGAAGUUUUCUUGGCAUUAUGGUCCAAAUCCCACAUUGGCUCUGGAUCAGCUAUUCAAGGUCAGGAACAAAGAGUACACAAGAAAAUGAUGGAUAUUAAACAUUUUCCUUGGCUUUGCAUGCAGAGGGAUUUUGCUUUCUGAAAACUAAGUGUUGAGUCACUUUAACCUGGUGGGAUUCCGAUAUGCCCAGAAAAUUUUCCCUGAAUUUGUUGUGCAAAAAGCUUUUUUUCAGGAGGAAUUAGUAAUCUGAAUCUUUCAUUUUAAGGUAUUUCACUUGCCUAAUCUUAAUUACCCAUAGCAGAGUUACAGGAUGUAGAAGGAAACCUUUGGUAGCUUUCCUGGGAGAGCCUCAAGAAGAGAGAGCUGAGCUGUGCCCUACAGCCAUUGCCUGCUCCUGUAUGCUCCCAGAUCAAUAACUAAAAAGGUGCAAAGCCAGUUGGCCACCAGGGCAGCAGCAUCUCUCCCCACUAAUGAGGGUGACCUUUCCACCCACUGCUUCACAUGACUGAAAUCAGGGGAAAUCAGUUUACUCAGGCCAGAACUUAUAUAACUGGUGAUUCUCAGGCUGAAAUUCCUGCUCAUGGUGUGAUGAAUGCAUUGUGGAUCUAUUUGAAAAAUUGAAGAAAUCAGACUGAAGA